rnacentral:rRNA from 1 species
AAUGAACGCUGGCGGCGCGCCUAAUACAUGCAAGUCGAGCGAGAAGACGUAGCAAUACGUUUGUAAAGCGGCGAACGGGUGAGGAAUACAUGGGUAACCUACCCUCGAGUGGGGAAGUAACUAGCCGAAGGUUAGCUAAUACCGCGUACGCUUCUUGGACUUCGGUUCAGGGAGGAAAGCGAUGCCGAGGGUAUCGCGCUCUUGGAUGGGCUCAUGUCCUAUCAGCUUGUUGGGAGGUAACGGCUCACCAAGGCUUCGACGGGUAGCUGGUCUGAGAGGACGAUCAGCCACACUGGCACUACGACACGGGCCAGACUCCUACGGGAGGCAGCAGUAAGGAAUAUUGCGCAAUGGGCGAAAGCCUGACGCAGCGACGCCGCGUGGGGGAGUGAA